rnacentral:rRNA from 1 species
CCUACGGGUGGCAGCAGUAGGGAAUUUUCGGCAAUGGGGGGAACCCUGACCGAGCAACGCCGCGUGAACGAAGAAGUUAUUCGUAAUGUAAAGUUCUUUUAACAGGGAAGAAAGAGAAAUUUGACGGUACCUGAAGAAUAAGCUCCGGCUAACUACGUGCCAGCAGCCGCGGUAAUACGUAGGGAGCGAAGGUUAUCCGGAAUGAUUGGGCGUAAAGGGGGCGUAGAUGGAAAGGUAGGGAUUUGGUAAAAAUGCUGGGCUAAACCCAGUAGGGCAAAAGAUACUGCAAAGCUAGAGUAUGACAGAGGUAAGUGGAACUACAUGUGUAGCGGUAAAAUGCGUAAAUAUAAGUAAGAACACCAGUGGCGAAGGCGGCUUGCUGGGUCGAUACUGACAUUGAGGCACGAAAGCGUGGGGAGCAAACAGGAUUAGAUACCCUUGUAGUC